rnacentral:misc_RNA from 1 species
AACCAUAGAAACCUGCGGAGUACCUGCGGAAGGAUCAUUAUAGUAUAUGGAAUCUCCAUUCUAUAAACCCACUCUGCGUAUCUUGUAACUGUUGCUUCCAUGGGACUUGGUUCCGCCACACCGGCUUCGGCUGGUGAGCGCCCAUGGAAGGAGAAACAAAACUCUUCUUUGAAAUGUAGUCAGUCUGAACAAGUUUUUAUAAACGUUAAAACUUUUAACAAUGGAUCUCAGAUCGGAAGA